GAUGAACGCUAGCGGCAGGCUUAACACAUGCAAGUCGAGGGGUAUAGUUCUUCGGAGCUAGAGACCGGCGCACGGGUGCGUAACGCGUAUGCAAUCUACCUUUUGCAGAGGGAUAGCCCAGAGAAAUUUGGAUUAAUACCUCAUGGUAUGUGAGAAUGGCAUCAUUUUCACAUUAAAGUCACAACGGCAAAAGAUGAGCAUGCGUCCCAUUAGCUAGUUGGUAAGGUAACGGCUUACCAAGGCAACGAUGGGUAGGGGUCCUGAGAGUGAGAUCCCCCACACUGGUACUGGGACACGGACCAGACUCCGACGGGAGGCAGCAGUGAGGAAUAUUGGUCGAUGUGCGGAAGCCUGAUCCAGCCAUGCCGCGUGCAGGAUGACGGUCCUAUGGAUUGUAAACUGCUUUUGUACAGGAAGAAACACUGGUUCGUGAACCAGCUUGACGGUACUGUAAGAAUAAGGAUCGGCUAACUCCGUGCCAGCCGCCGCCGUAAGAC
rnacentral:rRNA from 1 species